AGAGUUUGAUCAUGGCUCAGAUUGAACGCUGGCGGCAGGCCUAACACAUGCAAGUCGAACGGUAACAGGAAACAGCUUGCUGUUUCGCUGACGAGUGGCGGACGGGUGAGUAAUAUCUGGGAAACUGCCCGAUGGAGGGGGAUAACUACUGGAAACGGUAGCUAAUACCGCAUAACGUCGCAAGACCAAAGAGGGGGACCUUCGGGCCUCUUGCCAUCGGAUGUGCCCAGAUGGGAUUAGCUAGUAGGUGGGGUAACGGCUCACCUAGGCGACGAUCCCUAGCUGGUCUGAGAGGAUGACCAGCCACACUGGAACUGAGACACGGUCCAGACUCCUACGGGAGGCAGCAGUGGGGAAUAUUGCACAAUGGGCGCAAGCCUGAUGCAGCCAUGCCGCGUGUAUGAAGAAGGCCUUCGGGUUGUAAAGUACUUUCAGCGGGGAGGAAGGGAGUAAAGUUAAUACCUUUGCUCAUUGACGUUACCCGCAGAAGAAGCACCGGCUAACUCCGUGCCAGCAGCCGCGGUAAUACGGAGGGUGCAAGCGUUAAUCGGAAUUACUGGGCGUAAAGCGCACGCAGGCGGUUUGUUAAGUCAGAUGUGAAAUCCCCGGGCUCAACCUGGGAACUGCAUCUGAUACUGGCAAGCUUGAGUCUCGUAGAGGGGGGUAGAAUUCCAGGUGUAGCGGUGAAAUGCGUAGAGAUCUGGAGGAAUACCGGUGGCGAAGGCGGCCCCCUGGACGAAGACUGACGCUCAGGUGCGAAAGCGUGGGGAGCAAACAGGAUUAGAUACCCUGGUAGUCCACGCCGUAAACGAUGUCGACUUGGAGGUUGUGCCCUUGAGGCGUGGCUUCCGGAGCUAACGCGUUAAGUCGACCGCCUGGGGAGUACGGCCGCAAGGUUAAAACUCAAAUGAAUUGACGGGGGCCCGCACAAGCGGUGGAGCAUGUGGUUUAAUUCGAUGCAACGCGAAGAACCUUACCUGGUCUUGACAUCCACGGAAGUUUUCAGAGAUGAGAAUGUGCCUUCGGGAACCGUGAGACAGGUGCUGCAUGGCUGUCGUCAGCUCGUGUUGUGAAAUGUUGGGUUAAGUCCCGCAACGAGCGCAACCCUUAUCCUUUGUUGCCAGCGGUCCGGCCGGGAACUCAAAGGAGACUGCCAGUGAUAAACUGGAGGAAGGUGGGGAUGACGUCAAGUCAUCAUGGCCCUUACGACCAGGGCUACACACGUGCUACAAUGGCGCAUACAAAGAGAAGCGACCUCGCGAGAGCAAGCGGACCUCAUAAAGUGCGUCGUAGUCCGGAUUGGAGUCUGCAACUCGACUCCAUGAAGUCGGAAUCGCUAGUAAUCGUGGAUCAGAAUGCCACGGUGAAUACGUUCCCGGGCCUUGUACACACCGCCCGUCACACCAUGGGAGUGGGUUGCAAAAGAAGUAGGUAGCUUAACCUUCGGGAGGGCGCUUACCACUUUGUGAUUCAUGACUGGGGUGAAGUCGUAACAAGGUAACCGUAGGGGAACCUGCGGUUGGAUCACCU
rnacentral:rRNA from 1 species